rnacentral:rRNA from 1 species
UACGAAGGGGGCUAGCGUUGUUCGGAAUUACUGGGCGUAAAGCGCACGUAGGCGGACUAUUAAGUCAGGGGUGAAAUCCCGGGGCUCAACCCCGGAACUGCCUUUGAUACUGGUAGUCUCGAGUCCGGAAGAGGUGAGUGGAAUUCCGAGUGUAGAGGUGAAAUUCGUAGAUAUUGGGAAGAACACCGGUGGCGAAGGCGGCUCACUGGCUCAUUUCUGACGCUCAGGCGCGACAGCGUGGGGAUCAAACAGG